rnacentral:rRNA from 1 species
UGAGGAAUAUUGGUCAAUGGGCGGUAGCCUGAACCAGCCAAGUAGCGUGAAGGAUGAAGGUUCUAUGGAUUGUAAACUUCUUUUAUAAAGGAAUAAAGUGAGGCACGUGUGCCUUUUUGUAUGUACUUUAUGAAUAAGGAUCGGCUAACUCCGUGCCAGCAGCCGCGGUAAUACGGAGGAUCCGAGCGUUAUCCGGAUUUAUUGGGUUUAAAGGGAGCGUAGAUGGGUUGUUAAGUCAGUUGUGAAAGUUUGCGGCUCAACCGUAAAAUUGCAAUUGAUACUGGCGUCCUUGAGUACAGUUGA